rnacentral:rRNA from 1 species
UACGUAGGUGGCAAGCGUUGUUCGGAAUUAUUGGGCGUAAAGAGCUUGUAGGCGGUUUGUCGCGUCUGCUGUGAAAAUCCGGGGCUCAACCCCGGACUUGCAGUGGGUACGGGCAGACUGGAGUGUGGUAGGGGAGACUGGAAUUCCUGGUGUAGCGGUGGAAUGCGCAGAUAUCAGGAGGAACACCGAUGGCGAAGGCAGGCCUCUGGGCCACUACUGGCGCUGAGAAGCGAAAGCAUGGGGAGCGAACAGG